UGAGUGCAAGGGGUAGAAUGCUCAGGCAUCAGGCUCUGUCCUGGCAAGUGAGCUGGGUAUCUACUGUCCCAAUCCAGAAUGAUGCUAAGGUCUGGAGUAAGAGAGAACUCAUGACAUGACAGGGGUCGGAUAAGAUGAGGGUGGGGGCUUGGAUGGAUAUUAAGGAGGAACUAUGGGACUUGCCUGCAGUGGGAAGUAGAACAGGUGGCAAGGCUCCCUCUCAUAUUUGGUGUGUGUCUCCCCAGCACCACUAAGUGGCACUGUAACAGAAAGAGGACACAGUCCCUGCCCUCAGGAAGUUGUGUCCAGAAUAGUCCCCUGUACUACUGCUGCAGUGUGCCAAAGCACAUGGAAUGACAAGUCAAAUUAAGAUGAGUAAGAGCAGUGAGAAGAUCGUGUGGGCAGGGGUUGGAGAAGGUUUGGGACACCUGAGCCAAGACCUCAGAGGAAUUUCUCUCACUGUGUGCAUAGCUGCUUCCUCCUCGUUAAGUCUCAGUUAAAAACCUUCCCCUGAGCUGGACAUGGUGGCACACUUUAAUCCCAGUGCUCGAGAAGCAGAGGCAGGCGGAGCUCCGCAAGUUCGAGGCCGCCCUCGUCUACAAGAGCCCUCAACCCCUGCUGGCCACCUCUGCUGUCCAUUCCUGGAUGCCCAGCCACAGUUCAAUCUUAAAGGUUAAAGGUUCCGGAAGAGUACCCAACUCACGACAGGCGAGAACGGCUCAACGGCUUGAGAUUCUGGAGUUGAGAACGGGAACUCAGAACAAAGACCCCCCCACCUGGCUUCUGGAAUCACAUUUGGGCUCCAAAUCCCAUUUCUGUUGCCAAAAGACCGGGGAACAAAGCUCUUGAUGCCUGCAUGUCUGCGAUCUCAAUGAUGCUUGUAACGGCAGCUUUCAGAAUGCUCGUGGGGAUUAGGGGAAAUGACUCUUGAAGUUGUAUGGACCUCAGCAUCACAGAGAGUUGGUUCCAGGACCCCAAGUUUACCCAGCUCCACAGAUACUCAUCUCUCCCCCAAAAUGGCCAAAUCUGCAUAAUACCUGCAUGCUUCCGUACACAUUAAACAACAUCAGACUUCAUAUAAUGUGCACACUAUA